CUCUCGCAAAUGGAUAUCUCGGCUCUCGCAUCGAUGAAGAGCGCAGCGAAAUGCGAUACGUGGUGCGAAUUGCAGAAUCCCGCGAACCA
rnacentral:rRNA from 1 species